GAGUGGUGGAAGUCUCAUGUAGUGUGCAGCUCUGUCCCUUACUUUAACACUCCUGUUUGACAUUUUGUCUUCUUUCUCCUGCAAGUGUUAUUUUUACAUCCUCCACCUCCAGCCCUGCUCUGAACAUAACGCUGCACAUGUUUAUUCCCUUCCCUGAAAAUAAACACACUCGGAUGCUGCUUGGAGUUUUUGCCUCAUUCCUGAUCCAACUCGGCCGUCCUCUCAGCUGCCGUGGAGAGCCGAGGUGCCAUUAAACAAUCUUGAGCUGCUUCAGUGGAGCUGCAAGGCGACCGCCGGCUCGCUCCCCCCCGGUGUGAAGGUGAAAGCGGUCUCUUCUGAACGACUCAGCAGAACCUCCCGUGGAAAACUAUCAUCAGGACAGCUCAAGAGGACAUGCAGCAACUGAUCGUGUCUGGGAGUCGAACCAACGAUCCGCUGGGACAAGGACUACAUCCUGGGACUGCAUGGGGCACCUGGACUUAAUCAGGACCUUAACCACCAAGCUUCCUAACGGUCUGAGAGAUGUCCAGCUACACCUUUCCUCCAGCUCAAGAAUAUGACAUCCAAAUCCAUCGUCUUCCUCGUCUCCUUCCCUCCUCUGCGCCCUCUUGCCGGACAGGGCGCCAGCGUCAGGUUACGUCAUCCUGGUGUUGAUCACAGCGUCGGUAUAAUUAGAAUGCACAUAUCGACUGCAUGAGGGGGGUGCCAAAUGUGAGUGUGCACCGUGUGAGUGUUUGUGCAUGUGUCCAGUACUAUUCUUAUUCAAAAUAAUGCAGCGUUUCAACCCUGUGAAGGUAGCUCUGAUGCUAACGUGAAAGAUGGAAUGCUAAAAACAAAGCUAACCUGCUACGGCUCAACCACAGAGUUUUAAACAUUACACAAGCAGCAUUUAGAGAG